UACAGCCUGGCCGCACCAUGCCGCGUGUGUUAUGAAGGCCUUCGGGUUGUAAAGCACUUUCAUAUGUGAGGAAAGGUGCAUAGUUAAUACCUGCUAACUGUGACGUUACCUUGAGAAGAAGGACCGGCUAACUCCGUGCCGGCAGCCGCGGUAAUACGGAGGGGGCGAGCGUUAAUCGGAAUUACUGGGCGUAAAGCGCGCGUAAGUGGUUUGAUCAGUCCUAUGUGAAAGCCCAGGGCUCAGCCUGGGAACUGCGCCUGAUACUGGGAGACUAUAGUGCGAGAAAGGGAAGUGGAAUUUCAUGUGUAGCGGUGAAAUGCGUAAAAAUGGGAAGGAAUACCAGUGGCGAAGGCGACUUCCUGGAUUGACACUGACACUGAGGUGCUAAAACGUGGGGAGCAAACAGGAUUAAAUACCCUGGUAGUCCACGCCGUAAACGAUGUCUACUAGCCGUUGGGAAACUUGAUAACUUUUUGGCCCACCUAACGCGAUAAGUUGACCGCCUGGGGAGUACGGUCGCGAGAUUAAAACUCAAAGGAAUUGACGGAUCC
rnacentral:rRNA from 1 species